AGUGAACGCUGGCGGUAGGCCUAACACAUGCAAGUCGAACGGCAGCACAGUAAGAGCUUGCUCUUACGGGUGGCGAGUGGCGGACGGGUGAGGAAUACAUCGGAAUCUACUUUUUCGUGGGGGAUAACGUAGGGAAACUUACGCUAAUACCGCAUACGACCUACGGGUGAAAGCAGGGGAUCUUCGGACCUUGCGCGAUUGAAUGAGCCGAUGUCGGAUUAGCUAGUUGGCGGGGUAAAGGCCCACCAAGGCGACGAUCCGUAGCUGGUCUGAGAGGAUGAUCAGCCACGCUGGAACUGAGACACGGUCCAGACUCCUACGGGAGGCAGCAGUGGGGAAUAUUGGACAAUGGGCGCAAGCAUGAUCCAGCCAUACCGCGUGGGUGAAGAAGGCCUUCGGGUUGUAAAGCCCUUUUGUUGGGAAAGAAAAGCAGCAGGUUAAUACCCCGCUGUUCUGACGGUACCUAAAGAAUAAGCACCGGCUAACUUCGUG
rnacentral:rRNA from 1 species